GGAGGCAUGACUCAAGUGGUAGAGGAUCUACCUUGCAAGUUUGAGGUCCUGGGUUUGAAUCCCAGUACUUCCC
rnacentral:tRNA from 1 species